GCAUCGAUAGCUCAGUGGCAGAGUGGUGGGGCGUUAACCUAAUUACCCAUGCGAUCCGGGUUCGAUCCCCGGUCGAUGCC